rnacentral:rRNA from 1 species
GAUGAACGCUGGCGGCGUGCCUAAUACAUGCAAGUCGAGCGAACAGACGAGGAGCUUGCUCCUCUGACGUUAGCGGCGGACGGGUGAGUAACACGUGGAUAACCUACCUAUAAGACUGGGAUAACUUCGGGAAACCGGAGCUAAUACCGCAUAAUAUAUUGAACCGCAUGGUUCAAUAGUGAAAGACGGUUUUGCUGUCACUUAUAGAUGGAUCCGCGCCGCAUUAGCUAGUUGGUAAGGUAACGGCUUACCAAGGCGACGAUGCGUAGCCGACCUGAGAGGGUGAUCGGCCACACUGGAACUGAGACACGGUCCAGACUCCUACGGGAGGCAGCAGUAGGGAAUCUUCCGCAAAGGGCGAAAGCCUGACGGAGCAACGCCGCGUGAGUGAUGAAGGUCUUCGGAUCGUAAAACUCUGUUAUUAGGGAAGAACAAAUGUGUAAGUAACUAUGCACGUCUUGACGGUACCUAAUCAGAAAGCCACGGCUAACUACGUG